rnacentral:rRNA from 1 species
GGGACCCGCACAAGCGGUGGAUGAUGUGGUUUAAUUCGAUGCAACGCGAAAAACCUUACCCACCUUUGACAUGUACGGAAUUCGCCAGAGAUGGCUUAGUGCUCGAAAGAGAACCGUAACACAGGUGCUGCAUGGCUGUCGUCAGCUCGUGUCGUGAGAUGUUGGGUUAAGUCCCGCAACGAGCGCAGCCCUUGUCAUUAGUUGCUACAUUUAGUUGGGCACUCUAAUGAGACUGCCGGUGACAAACCGGAGGAAGGUGGGGAUGACGUCAAGUCCUCAUGGCCCUUAUAGGUGGGGCUACACACGUCAUACAAUGGCUGGUACAAGGGGUUGCCAACCCGCGAGGGGGAGCUAAUCCCAUAAAGCCAUUCGUAGUCCGGAUCGCAGUCUGCAACUCGACUGCGUGAAGUCGGAAUCGCUAGUAAUCGUGGAUCAGAAUGUCACGGUGAAUACGUUCCCGGGUCUUGUACACACCGCCCGUCACACCAUGGGAGCGGGUUCUGCCAGAAGUAGUUAGCUUAACCGUAAGGAGGGCGAUUACCACGGCAGGGUUCGUGACUGGGGU